rnacentral:RNase_P_RNA from 1 species
UUGGAAGGGCGGAGGACCGCUUCCGGCGCGAGCCGGGGGAGGAAAGUCCGAACACCACAGGGCGCGAUGCCGCGUAACCUGUAGCCGCCGACGUAAGGAGGCGGAAAUGGGAUACACGCGGGCGGCCAGGCCGCGAGGCCUGCCGACGGACAGUGCCACAGAAAACAAACCGCCGGCUUUGAAAUCUCAAAUUUCAAAUUUGGGAUUUCAGAGGGUAAGGGUGAAAAGGUGGGGCAAGAGCCCACCGCUCCAAGCGCAAGCGCGGAGGCACGGAAAACCCCAUCGGGUGCAAGGCCAAAUAGGGGACCGCGGAGCGGCCCGCUCCAUGCCCAGAGUGGGACAGGCGUCUCGCCUGUCGCGGGAAGAAAAGACAGGCUGGAAGCCUGUCCCACUUUGCGGUCAGGUCCCGGGUACUGGCUGCUCAGACAAAUGGUUCUCUCCGUCCCGCAAGGGACGCAGACAGAAUUCGGCUUACAGCCCUUCCAAAAUC